rnacentral:rRNA from 1 species
UACGUAGGGUGCAAGCGUUGUCCGGAAUUAUUGGGCGUAAAGAGCUCGUAGGCGGUCUGUCGCAUCGGCUGUGAAAUCCCGAGGCUCAACCUCGGGUCUGCAGUCGAUACGGGCAAACUGGAGUACUGCAGGGGAGACUGGAAUUCCUGGUGUAGCGGUGAAAUGCGCAGAUAUCAGGAGGAACACCGGUGGCGAAGGCGGGUCUCUGGGCAGUAACUGACGCUGAGGAGCGAAAGCGUGGGGAGCGAACAGG